rnacentral:rRNA from 1 species
AAUACGGGAGGCAGCAGUGGGGAAUAUUGGACAAUGGGCGCAAGCCUGAUCCAGCCAUACCGCGUGGGUGAAGAAGGCCUUCGGGUUGUAAAGCCCUUUUGUUGGGAAAGAAAUCCAGCUGGCUAAUACCCGGUUGGGAUGACGGUACCCAAAGAAUAAGCACCGGCUAACUUCGUGCCAGCAGCCGCGGUAAUACGAAGGGUGCAAGCGUUACUCGGAAUUACUGGGCGUAAAGCGUGCGUAGGUGGUCGUUUAAGUCCGUUGUGAAAGCCCUGGGCUCAACCUGGGAACUGCAGUGGAUACUGGGCGACUAGAGUGUGGUAGAGGGUAGCGGAAUUCCUGGUGUAGCAGUGAAAUGCGUAGAGAUCAGGAGGAACAUCCAUGGCGAAGGCAGCUACCUGGACCAACACUGACACUGAGGCACGAAAGCGUGGGGAGCAAACAGGAUUAGAUACCCUGGUAGUCCACGCCCUAAACGAUGCGAACUGGAUGUUGGGUGCAAUUUGGCACGCAGUAUCGAAGCUAACGCGUUAAGUUCGCCGCCUGGGGAGUACGGUCGCAAGACUGAAACUCAAAGGAAUUGACGGGGGCCCGCACAAGCGGUGGAGUAUGUGGUUUAAUUCGAUGCAACGCGAAGAACCUUACCUGGCCUUGACAUGUCGAGAACUUUCCAGAGAUGGAUUGGUGCCUUCGGGAACUCGAACCCAGGUGCUGCAUGGCUGUCGUCAGCUCGUGUCCUGAGAUGUUGGGUUAAGUCCCGCAACGAGCGCAACCCUUGUCCUUAGUUGCC